UUUUGUUAUUUUUGUUAUAGUAGGUCUCUAAUUUAUGAUAAAAAUCCAUAAUUAUGACAAUCGUGAUCAUUGAUUUUGCAAUAAUGGUUGACUGGAUGAUCAAUUGGCUACCAGAUGGAUGUGUGUUGAACAUUCACUUUAGAAUAUUUGAGUUUAAUGCUAAAUCCCAUACCUCUAAAUUUUUUUCAAGAGAAAUCCAGUUCAUUCACCUCCAUUCUUCACUCAAUGCUAAUCAUUAUUACAAGAAUGAGCAACCUGUGAUGAGCCUUGGAAUGCCCUGCUGCUUACUUAGUAUCCAAUAAAAAAAAAGCAUAUAAUUCAAUAGAAAAAUUGUAGCCAUGGCACUUCACUCCUUUUUUAGAUGUUUUUGUUUUAGUUCAAGAAUAAUUUCUGAAAUGUCUGCAAUUAAAUCACAUAUAAUAACAUAAUUCACUUAAUUGGAUGCAAUCUGAGUCUAAAUGCUCAGGAUAGAAUUUGGAUUCUAUGCCUUAAAAAAUAUUUCUUGAUGGGUAUGGAUCAAGUAUUGAGCCUUUGAUUGUAAAGUCUGCUGACUCUCAUAAUUGUGGGAAGUUAUUUACAGUUGGGACUGGAAUGGUUCAUUAAUAGUAAUCAGACAAUGAUUGGGAAG
rnacentral:lncRNA from 1 species